rnacentral:rRNA from 1 species
ACACAAUCCUAACAUUUUACCUCAAACAUAUUAAAGAAAACACUCAACCAUAAAAGUAUCUUAAAAAACCAUCUCAGAUAAUAACGAACCGCAAGGGCCAAAACUCAGUCGAAAAAAGAAAGAAUAACCCCCUCUCCCUUUUGCAUCAUGGAGAAGCAACAUUCACAUUAACAAUACUUAAACUCCCGAAAAAACAUGAGCUACUAACCCUUAAAAUUAAUGUGUCACAAUUAAUAAACUAGCCGUUAGUAGAAGUAACAAGCCUUCCACAUUUUUUGAUAGCUGGUUUUCCCUGAAAAGCAUCAAAGUGCUAGCUUAUGGUACUACCAAUUCCGAUACCACCGCAAGCUAAAAACUACCGAGGAUAAGCUCGGUAGUUUCCCUAAAAUAAGUUAAACCCACAAAGUUACAAGUAGGCCUAAAAACAGCCAACUUACCGCGUUCUAGCAAAUAAAUACCUACAAAACACAUAUAACUACCCAUUUUAACAAACAAGGGAAUCUAACGCAAAACAACCAAUAACCUUAACAAACAGGCAUUCUAUUAGUAUAACCUACCCAAUUCAACACACAACCCUAAAACCCAAGUGAACUAAACGAUCUUCUACAAUAAGAAGUAAAAUGUACGUAACGAACUCGGCAACACUGUUUUUCGCCUGUUUACCAAAAACAUCGUUUCUCGAAAAGACCAACAUGAGAAAUAAUGCCUGCCCAGUGAACAUCAAAUUUUAACGGCCGCGUUAGCGUGAGCGUGCUAAGGUAGCGUAAUAAAUAGCCUCUUAAUUGGAGGCCAGUGAAUGGCAACACGGAAAACCCCUGUAUCACGUACACCAAUAAAAUUUUAUUUUUGGGUGAAAAAGCCCGAAUAACCGAGGAAGACAAAAAGACCCCGCGGAGCUUUACUUUAUCAAGCCAAGCAAAUCUGUCAGAUUUGCUAUGCUAAUAAGUUUGGUUGGGGCAACCCUGGAACCAUUAAAGCUUCCAGUCACGACUAGAAACAUCAUCAAAAACAUCUCCGGACUAAAAAGAAGUUACCCCGGGGAUAACAGCGUAAUCCAAUUUAAGAGUACGCAUCGAAAGUUGGGUUUGCGACCUCGAUGUUGGCUUAAGGUAAUUCACACUAGCGCAGCCGCUAUGAGAGAAUAGUCUGUUCGACUAUCAUACCCUUACAUGAGCUGAGUUAAGACCGGCGCAAGCUAGGUUGGUUUCUAUCUCCUCCAUUACCACUAUACUCUCAAUUGUACGAAAGGACCCUGAGAUGUGCAAACUCCAGCAACCUCUAAUAAACACUCAAUCCUUAAAUCUAACCCAAUUUCCACAAAAUCCC